rnacentral:lncRNA from 1 species
ACUGAGAUGCUUUUUUGACCCUGAAGCCAUCAACUUUCAAAGUUUUGUCUGUGAAAUAAUAGAAUGCCUUUACUGUUUAACCCACUGUGACUGGGGCAUUAUGAAGCUUUCAGCAGAAGGCAUUCCUAACUAAUACACUUGUGCUCAGGCUACCAUAUUUUGGUCCUGCAGUUUCUACCCAAAAUUCCAAAUCAUGGGACCAUCUUUUAUUUCCAGGAUUGGCUGACACCCCCAUCUCCUACCUCCCCUUCUUGAGAGCUGAUGAACAGCCUGUUGAAUCUGCUUGGAUCCUUUGCAGGGAGACACAGAAAAGUACAAAGAAGAAAACUAAAAAGGUGACCCAGAGAGAACCACUCUAAGAUGUUCAUGGGAAUUCAGCUCAGCUUGUGUAUUUAUAUUGAGAUCCUAUAUUGAGAUCCCACUGUUGUCUGCUUUUUCAUUUUUCAUGAAAAUAAAACUUGACUCAAAGUUUCAUUUUAAAAUACCUUUGCUUAUUACUAUUAUUUGAAUACUUAGACAUUCAAAAUGUUCAAAAGGUGUCCAGGGAGAAGUGAGGCUGCCUCCCACUCCAGCCUCUGUUGAUCAGUUUCUUGUGUGCACUUCCUUCCCUGGGUCUAAGUCCCCUGCAGACCUGUGAGUUCCAGCUCUCCUGCUCCCAUUCAUUUUGAGUUUUUUUGUGUGUUCACUCGAUUACAAAUCAUGACAUUAUUUUAAAAAUCAGAACCUACAGACAAUCAAAAGAAAGAGGAGCAUAAGAAAAGUGGAAUCAAGCCAGGUGUGGUGACACAUGCCUAUAAUCCGAGCACUUUGAGAGGCUGAAACAGGAGGAUUACUUGAGCUCAGGAGUUCAAGAUCAGCCUGGGCAACACAGCGAGACCUUCAUCUCUACAAAAUUUAAAAAAAAAAAAAAAAGGAAAUUAGCCAGGUGUGGUGGUGCACGCCUGUGGCCCAGCUACUCGGGAGGCCAAGGUGGGAGAUGACUUGAGCCCAAGGAGGUCAAGGCUGCAGUGAGCCAUGAUCACACCACUGCACUCCAACC